rnacentral:rRNA from 1 species
ACUGCUAUCGGAUUGAUACUAAGCCAUGCGAGUCUUUGUAGCAAUACAAGGCGGACGGCUCAGUAACACGUAGUCAAUCUAACCUAUGGACGAGGAUAACCUCGGGAAACUGAGAAUAAUACUCGAUAGAUCAUUAUACCUGGAAUGGUUUAUGGUCCAAAUGAAUUUCGCCAUAGGGUGGGACUGCGGUCUAUCAGCUUGUUGGUGAGGUAAUGGCCCACCAAGGCUAUAACAGAUACGGGCUCUGAGAGGAGAGGCCCGGAGAUGGGUACUGAGACACGGACCCAGGCCCUAUGGGGCGCAGCAGGCGGGAAAACUUUGCAAUGUGCGAAAGCACGACAAGGUUAAUCCGAGUGGUUCCUGCUAAAGGAAUCUUUUGUUAGUCGUAACACCACUGAUGAAUAAGGGGUGGGCAAGUUCUGGUGUCAGCCGCCGCGGUAAAACCAGCACCUCAAGUGGUCAGGAGGAUUAUUGGGCCUAAAGCAUCCGUAGCCGGCUUUGUUAGUUUUCGGUUAAAUCUAUAUGCUCAACAUAUGGGCUGCCGGGAAUACUGCAAAGCUAGGGAGUGGGAGAGGUAGACGGUACUCCGUAGGAAGGGGUAAAAUCCUUUGAUCUAUGGAUGACCACCUGUGGCGAAGGCGGUCUACCAGAACACGUCCGACGGUGAGGGAUGAAAGCUGGGGGAGCAAACCGGAUUAGAUACCCGGGUAGUCCCAGCUGUAAACUAUGCAAACUCAGUGAUGCAUUGGCUUGUGGCCAGUGCAGUGCCGCAGGGAAGCCGUUAAGUUUGCCGCCUGGGAAGUACGUACGCAAGUAUGAAACUUAAAGGAAUUGGCGGGGGAGCACCACAAGGGGUGAAG